UGCGAGUGAUAAGAUCCGUAGUCGAAAGGGAAACAGCCCAGACCACCAGUUAAGGUCCCCAAAUAUAUGUUAAGUGGAAAAGGAUGUGGGGUUGCUUAGACAACCAGGAUGUUGGCUUAGAAGCAGCCACCAUUGAAAGAGUGCGUAAUAGCUCACUGGUCGAGUGACCCCGCGCCGAAAAUGUACCGGGGCUAAACAUAUUACCGAAACUGUGGAUGAACCUCUUUAGAGGUUCGUGGUAGGAGAGCGUUCUAAGGGCGGUGAAGUCAGACCGGAAGGACUGGUGGAGCGCUUAGAAGUGAGAAUGCCGGUAUGAGUAGCGAAAGAAGGGUGAGAAUCCCUUCCACCGAAUAUCUAAGGUUUCCUGAGGAAGGCUCGUCCGCUCAGGGUUAGUCGGGACCUAAGCCGAGGCCGAUAGGCGUAGGCGAUGGACAACAGGUAGAGAUUCCUGUACCAGUGCUAAUUGUUUAACCGAUGGGGUGACACAGAAGGAUAGGGAAUCGCACGAAUGGAAAUGUGCGUCCAAGCAGUGAGUGUGAGAAGUAGGCAAAUCCGC
rnacentral:rRNA from 1 species